UGGGGAAUAUUGCACAAUGGGCGCAAGCCUGAUGCAGCCAUGCCGCGUGUGUGAAGAAGGCCUUCGGGUUGUAAAGCACUUUCAGCGGGGAGGAAGGCGGUGAGGUUAAUAACCUCAUCGAUUGACGUUACCCGCAGAAGAAGCACCGGCUAACUCCGUGCCAGCAGCCGCGGUAAUACGGAGGGUGCAAGCGUUAAUCGGAAUUACUGGGCGUAAAGCGCACGCAGGCGGUUUGUUAAGUCAGAUGUGAAAUCCCCGGGCUUAACCCGGGAAUUGCAUCUGAUACUGGUCAGGUAGAGUCUUGUAGAGGGGGGUAGAAUUCCAUGUGUAGCGGUGAAAUGCGUAGAGAUGUGGAGGAAUACCGGUGGCGAAGGCGGCCCCCUGGACAAAGACUGACGCUCAGGUGCGAAAGCGUGGGGAGCAAACAGG
rnacentral:rRNA from 1 species